AUACGGAGGGUUCAAGCGUUAUUCGGAAUCACUGGGCGUAAAGGACGCGUAGGCGGGUUGGCAAGUCAGAUGUGAAAUCCUACAGCUUAACUGUAGAACUGCAUUUGAAACUGCUAACCUAGAGUAUGGGAGGGGGCGAUGGAAUUAGUGGUGUAGGGGUAAAAUCCGUAGAUAUCACUAGGAAUACCGAAAGCGAAGGCGAUCUCCUGGAACAUAACUGACGCUAAGGCGUGAAAGCGUGGGGAGCAAACAGGAUUAGAAACCCUUGUAGUCC
rnacentral:rRNA from 1 species